rnacentral:rRNA from 1 species
ACGGGUGAGUAAUGUCUGGGAAACUGCCUGAUGGAGGGGGAUAACUACUGGAAACGGUAGCUAAUACCGCAUAACGUCGCAAGACCAAAGAGGGGGACCUUCGGGCCUCUUGCCAUCAGAUGUGCCCAGAUGGGAUUAGCUAGUAGGUGGGAUAACGGCUCACCUAGGCGACGAUCCCUAGCUGGUCUGAGAGGAUGACCAGCCACACUGGAACUGAGACACGGUCCAGACUCCUACGGGAGGCAGCAUG